rnacentral:rRNA from 1 species
GACGAACUGUGCAAACGUUAUUCGGAAUCACUGGGCUUAAAGGGUGCGUAGGCGGUCUUUUAAGUAGGGUGUGAAAGCCUCUGGCUCAACCAGAGAACUGCGCCCUAAACUAGAAGGCUUGAGUGAGGUAGGGGUGUGUGGAACUUCCAGUGGAGCGGUGAAAUGUGUUGAUAUUGGAAGGAACGCCGGUGGCGAAAGCGACACACUGGACCUUGUCUGACGCUGAGGCACGAAAGCCAGGGGAGCAAAC